GAUGAACGCUAGCUACAGGCUUAACACAUGCAAGUCGAGGGGAAACGACAUCGAAAGCUUGCUUUUGAUGGGCGUCGACCGGCGCACGGGUUAUUAACUCGUAUCCAACCUGCCCAUCACUUGUGGAUAACCUUGCGAAAGUAAGACUAAUACCCAAUGAUAUCUCUAGAAGACAUCUGAAAGAGAUUAAAGAUUUAUCGGUGAUGGAUGGGGAUGCGUCUGAUUAGCUUGUUGGCGGGGUAACGGCCAACCAAGGCAACGAUCAGUAUGGGUUCUGAGAGGAAGGUACCCCACAUUGGAACUGAGACAAGGACAAAAGAACGAAGGGAGGGAGCAGAGAGGAAGAUUAGGCAAUGGGAGAGAGCCUGAAACAGCCAAGUAGAGUGAAGGAAGACGGCGCUAUGGGAUGUAAACUGCUUUUAUAAGGGAAAAAAGUGAGAGUCGUGACUCUUUUUGAAUGUACCUUAUGAAUAAGGACCGGCUAAUUCCGUG
rnacentral:rRNA from 1 species